rnacentral:misc_RNA from 1 species
GAUGAAGAACGUAGUGAAAUGCGAUAAGUAGUGUGAAUUGCAGAAUUCAGUGAAUCAUCGAAUCUUUGAACGCACAUUGCGCCUCCUGGUAUUCCGGGAGGCAUGCCUGUUCGAGCGUCAUUAAAAUCACUCAAGCUUAGGUUUGCCUAUUGCUUGGUCUUGAAGAUGGAAGCUAAGUAAUUAGAAUCCUCUUCGAAAUCCAAUGGCGAAGACCCUUGCUCUCCCAAGUGUAGUAAUAACUUAUUCACUGAAGGAAGCGAGUAAUCUUCCGCCGUAACCCCCAUAUUUUCUAUGAUUGACCUCGGAUCAGGUAGGGAUACCCGCUGAACUUAAGCAUAUCAAUAAGCGGAGGA